GAUGAACGCUGGCGGCGUGCCUAAUACAUGCAAGUCGAGCGAACGGACGAGAAGCUUGCUUCUCUGAUGUUAGCGGCGGACGGGUGAGUAACACGUGGAUAACCUACCUAUAAGACUGGGAUAACUUCGGGAAACCGGAUCUAAUACCGGAUGAUAUUUUGAACCGCACGGUUCAAAAGUGAAAGACGGUCUUGCUGUCACUUAUAGAUGGAUCCGCGCUGCAUUAGCUAGUUGGUAAGGUAACGGCUUACCAAGGCAACGAUGCAUAGCCGACCUGAGAGGGUGAUCGGCCACACUGGAACUGAGACACGGUCCAGACUCCUACGGGAGGCAGCAGUAGGGAAUCUUCCGCAAUGGGCGAAAGCCUGACGGAGCAACGCCGCGUGAGUGAUGAAGGUCUUCGGAUCGUAAAACUCUGUUAUUAGGGAAGAACAUAUGUGUAAGUAACUGUGCACAUCUUGACGGUACCUAAUCAGAAAGCCACGGCUAACUACGUG
rnacentral:rRNA from 1 species